CGGGGAUCCCCCGUCGCUGAUUGGCUGGCUGAGCUGUCAAUCACGCGCGUGACGCGGCCGGGCCGGAGCGCGGCGGAGCCGAGAGUCCCGUUCCCGGCUGGGCUCGGAGCGUUCCGGGGGCUCCCCCGGGGCUCCCCCCGCGCUCCGCAGCCGCUCCCGCUCGGCCCCGCCCGUGCUCUGGGCAGCGCAAAGGUUCGGGAGGAGACUCCGGAGGAUGAGCGAUGAGUUCCAGCUGCAGGUGCUGCCGCGGCCCCGCAGUGUGGGUGG